rnacentral:lncRNA from 1 species
AUGCUUUUAUCGUUUAACUCAUUCGAUAAUUGUUGUUUGUCUUUAUUGAUACGGGGACGUACAGUAAUGUCAUGAACUGGUGAGUAAUUUCUUGAUUCUGCAAUAUCACCUAGGGAUAGGGGUAUGACGAUCAAUUGCGUUUAACUUCUGCUCUAUAAUGCUGUAUUAAUUGCUCGGGGAGACUAGGGAUAGCAAGCCAGUAAUUAGUAUUAGGCUCUUGUCGCCGAGGGAUCGGGUUAAGGGUAGGCUAAGAAAGUUGCAUGACAAAUAAUCAAUCAAACUAAUAAUUCAAGAGGAGUAGAUAAGAGAGAGAGGAUUAAGAUGAAAUUGUAAACCCCCAACAACUCCAUUCAUUCAUUGUUUUCUUCCUGUCAUUUGAAUCAACCUCUUUUGCAUGUUCAUAUUUUAUUCUAAUACUCAAUCAAUUAUUUUUA